UAGAUAUUUCGAAACUGAGAUUUUAAAUUGAUUGUUGUUGUCCUGACUAGUUAUUACCUCCUAUAGACAAAACAAAGAUAUAUCAAAAGAAAUCAAAUCUUAUAUCUUCAGAGGCAAUCUGAUACAAGGCGUCAACAAACCUGAAGAUCCAUGAUCGAUUCCUGCAGGCUAUCAAGAAUAAGGAAAGCAACCAUUCGCUUACUACUUAAGACAUCCCUAACACAGCGCUUCAAGUUCUCCUGCAUACAUAGUGCAUAAACACAAAAAACAAGCACCUUCUCAUGUAGCCGGCCAUCCCCAAUAAUUAGAACAAGUUGCUGUAGAGGGUUUUGUCCAGAAGGAAGUCUUGCAUUUGUAACUGCAGCAUCCAACUUCUUAUUUAAAAACCUCAACAGAUCAACAACUGGUUCAUCCGUGAUAGUAU